UGCCUCGUGGUGUAAUUGGCAACACCCCUGAUUCUGGUUCAGGAAUUCUAGGUUCGAGUCCUGGCGAGGCAGCCA
rnacentral:tRNA from 1 species